rnacentral:rRNA from 1 species
CUACGGUGAAUACGUUCCCGGACCUUGCACACACCGCCCGUCAAGCCAUGGAAGCCGGGUGUACCUAAAGUCGGUAAACCGUAAGGAGCCGCCUAGGGUAAAACUGGUGACUGGGGCU